rnacentral:rRNA from 1 species
GACGAACGCUGGCGGCGCGCCUAACACAUGCAAGUCGAACGGAGCUGAGAGAAGCUUGCUUUUCUUAGCUUAGUGGCGAACGGGUGAGUAACGCGUGAGUAACCUGCCCUGGAGUGGGGGACAACAGUUGGAAACGACUGCUAAUACCGCAUAAGCCCACGAUCCGGCAUCGGAUUGAGGGAAAAGGAUUUAUUCGCUUCAGGAUGGACUCGCGUCCAAUUAGCUAGUUGGUGAGGUAACGGCCCACCAAGGCGACGAUUGGUAGCCGGACUGAGAGGUUGAACGGCCACAUUGGGACUGAGACACGGCCCAGACUCCUACGGGAGGGAGCAGUGGGGGAUAUUGCACAAUGGGGGAAACCCUGAUGCAGCGACGCCGCGUGGAGGAAGAAGGUUUUCGGAUUGUAAACUCCUGUCGUUAGGGACGAUAAUGACGGUACCUAACAAGAAAGCACCGGCUAACUACGUG